UUGAGCGGUCUUAACUAUGAGGAUCCAAAGGUAGCAAAAUCAGUUGGCCAUUAAAUGUGGUCUUGUAUCAAUAAUGUAACGAUGGCCUCACUGUCUCUACAAGUCGCUCAGUGAAAUUGAAUUGUGAGUGCAGAUGCUCACUACCUCCG
rnacentral:rRNA from 1 species